UCUACUCUCGUAUUUUUAUUAUUACCCAGAGGGAAAAGGGAGGUUUCAACAGAGGAUAUUUGGUAGUAGUUAUUAUAAAAAUAAAAUGAUUUCUAGUUACAUCUCAACUAGUUGAGACGUAUCCCUACACCGGUUAGGUGUGCGUCUCAGGUAAAGCACACAUCAACCCUGAGAAGUUAGUACAGAUCAUGCCCAUUUGAUAGAUGAGGCAGCUGAGGCUUGGAGGGAGAAGCAGCUUCUUUGGGGUCACAGAGGGACUUGGUGGUGGAGCCAGGGCCUCUCUAAGCAGGGAAUCCUGCCCUUCUCUUUGCCCUUUUGCCUACUUCUCAUCUCCUGCUAGAUCUGGCAGUCCUCAGGAUGUACUGGGGUGACCCCACUGGGCUGCCCUUGGCAUGACCACCCAUCCAUGUGGUGCUGUCUUUAGAACUUACUGGAAUGUUUUCUGUAUUGAUUUUCUUAUCGACCUGUUCACAUGAGGCUCAGUCUUUCUUGCGGGUCUCAUAAGCAGCACUUUGUGAAAUACCAGGUGGGUCAGUGAUACUCAGCAAACAGGUUCUAAGGUAGCCCCGUGGUAGUGGUAUGGUGGCUGGGAAUGUUGGUUUUUAUGGGGCUGAAAUCAGUCAACUGAGGUAACAGAAUUCUAUUCUAUUGGCCUGUUCACCCCUGAACCAGAAUUCUCCCACUGCAAAUCAAGAAAUUGGCCCGCAAGAACAGGAGAGGAGUUUGUGAGAAGGACGUAAGGCACUUUAUAGACAUGGAGAAAGAAAUGCCAGAAGCAAGUUUGAAAAGGCUUGAGAACAGGAUGCCCUGGGGGGGGUCUUGGUUACAUAAACUGGCAAGUGUCUUCUUCAGCUCUGAUGACCUGUCACUAAGGACGCUUUGGCUGCAAGUAAUAGAGAACAAUGACUCAAACUGGCUUAAGCAGUAAUGGAGUUGGUAUGGCGUCUACUCUUCCACACCCUUGAAUCUGAUCUGGCUGAGACCUUGUGUCUGUUUUGACUAGUAGAACAUGGUGAAAGUGAUGCUGGGCUAGUUCUGGGCUUCCUGCCACAUGUAGCCCUGAGCCACCACGGAAGGAGUCUAGGCUGCUCCAGUGGGAGGGCACUGAGAUGCCAUCUUGGAUGUCCAGCCCAAGUCAAGAGGACGUCAACCCCAGUAGCCAUCUGCUUGCAACGGCACGAGAGAAACCAAGUGAGAGCCGCUUAUCUGAGUCCAGUCAACCCACAGAACAUUUUCCAGGCCAGUGUUGGUGCCCACGGUCAUCCUCUUCAGCCCACCCUGGAGGACUGCCUGAAGCUUGGUGGACAGUUCUGUACACACCUAUGGCAUCUGCAUCACUGCCCAGGGCCCGUGUGUUCAGCGUGUACACAGCAGGUCACAAGGGAAGUGCCUGGGAGUUGAUAGCCCCAGGCAGCACCUUCCACCAUUGAGAGAUGGGCAUGGUGGAUAAACGUCCCAGCUUCCUCACCCCCUCACAGGACACUACAGUGUACUCUACAUCGUCUUCCAGAGGUCCUCACUGAGAUUGAGCCCUGGUUGCCCAUAAAGGUGAACAACGCACUGACACACCCUUUAUUCUGGUCCUCCCUUCCCGUCUCAUUUCCCACUUCCUCAUUAUUCUUCCUGAGGUUGU